AGAUUCCGUUGCUAAAGUUUGUGCCUACUUACCCUGAGUGCUAAGGGUAACUUUCACAGUAAAAAAAUAAAAUAACUAACUUUUCUAUAUCAGGGUCCUUUCAAUGUCGACACCGGGUGUAACAAUUUGGAGGUACCGCUGGGAUAUAGUAUUUUUACUGUAGCUAAAAAGCUAAGAGACCCUUUAAAAAAACCUGAUAAGAACGUACUUUGGAUGAGGGAAACGUGGAAGAGGUUUAGCUAGUUAGCAAAAUCUUGAGUGAGCUAAGCUGUAUCGUUUAGCCUAAUCCUGCGACACCAUUUUAUUGUGUGUAUCCGUGAAGUCGUGAAGUGAGGCUAAAUGUUUGAGUAAGGAAGUUGAAGGAGUUGGAACAAAGACUAUUUGGAUUAUCCGUGUGCGACCUGAAAAUUGUAUGCCAGUACCGCAAGAUAACUGGCAGUGAAAAUGUAGAUAUAAAGGGUAAAAAUCGACGUGCUUUAGUUAAACGUGUGAUGCAGUAUUGCCAGUGAAAAGAUUUAGAAAAGACAGAGGACGAAGGCAUGGCCGUGCUUUUGGAUUUAAGCAAUGUUAUAAGCGUUACCCAAGGACCGUGCUGCAAAAAUGGCAAAUGCAGCAGCUGCCUUGAAGGAAUUUCCCGCGCCUGAGAGCGACGUCACACCACUUCGGCCAUCUUCAGACAUUUGCGGAGGGAGGCGCCACACUCAGAGGGAGAGACUCCUACAAGUACUGCAGUUGUGCUUCUUCAAAUGGCUACCACCCAGCAGAUGUAAGGCCUGUCUGACCCAGCACCUCCUUGGAUCCUGCUUUUCUGCAGACAAGUGAAAGUGUUGACUUCCUCUACCAGAGCACUUCUAUGGUGUAGGGUCACAGGGAGGCUGGAGUCUAUCCCAGCAUUCAUUGGGCACAAGCCAGGAACAUCCCCUGGACAGGGUUCCAGUCCAUUGCAGGGAGAACAUGCCCACAGCCGCAUCUCCAAUUCAUCUACAUGUCUCCAUGAGAGGAUCUGGGCUGGCCAGGACUUAAACUCGGAACCUCUUUCUUGUGAGGAAACAGCACUAAAUACUGUGCCACCAUGCUUUAC